rnacentral:rRNA from 1 species
AUACGGAGGGUGCAAGCGUUACUCGGAAUCACUGGGCGUAAAGCGCGCGCAGGCGGUCUUUUAAGUUGGAUGUGAAAGCCUACGGCUCAACCGUAGAACUGCAUGCAAAACUAUUAGACUAGAGUGUGGGAGAGGAAGAUGGAAUUAGUUGUGUAGGGGUAAAAUCCGUAGAGAUAACUAGGAAUACCAAAAGCGAAGGCAAUCUUCUGGAACACUACUGACGCUGAGGCGCGAAAGCGUGGGGAGCAAACAGGAUUAGAAACCCUAGUAGUCC